rnacentral:rRNA from 1 species
GAUGAACGCUGGCGGCGUGCCUAAUACAUGCAAGUCGAGCGAACAGACGAGGAGCUUGCUCCUCUGACGUUAGCGGCGGACGGGUGAGUAACACGUGGAUAACCUACCUAUAAGACUGGGAUAACUUCGGGACACCGGAUCUAAUACCGGAUAAUAUAUUGAACCGCAUGGUUCAAUAGUGAAAGACGGUUUUGCUGUCACUUCUAGAUGGAUCUGCGCCGCUUUAGCUAGUUGGUAAGCUAACGGCUUACCAAGGCAACGAUGCGUAGCCGACCUGAGAGAGUGAUCGCCCACCCUGGAACUGAGCCACGCUCCCUACUCCUGCGGGAGGCAGCAGUAGCGAAUCUGCCGCAAUGGGCGAAAGCCUGACGGAGCAACGCCGAGUGAGUGACGAAGAUCUUCGGAUCGUAAAACUCUGUUAUUAGGGAAGAACAAAUGUGUGAGUAACUAUGCACGUCUUGACGGUACCUAAUCAGAAAGCCACGGCUAACUACGUG